ACAUGAACAUCGACAUUUUGAACGCAUAUUGCGGUCCAUACUGAUUAGUUUCUUAACCGAAGCUGUAUGGACCACACAUGGUUGAGGGUCGUUAGAUUAUGCUAACCAAAUUGCUUUUUUUAAAAGCUAUAUGUUGAGGUGUUGUCAACCUUCAGUGUGUUGGCAUCCCUUGAAAAUACCUUUAAUUGGGUACACAAUUGUAUUGUGAACGCCGUAUUAUACAAAGGAAACAAACAUUAUUAAAGAUUAGUAAACUUUGAUUAAGCGUUUAAACGUUGUAGUUUUCGCAUUUCGAUGUUUUGAACGUUUUUAAGUUUGUUAGACUUAACGGCUAGUAUAUUAUACUUUUGAAAAAACAUAUAAAGCGACCUCAGCUCAUGUGAGACUACCCCCUGAAUUUAAGCAUAA
rnacentral:rRNA from 1 species